UUUGGUGGCGAUGGCGGAGGGGAACCACACGUUCCCAUCCCGAACACGACCGUUAAGCCCUCCAGCGCCGAUGGUACUUGGACCGCAGGGUCCUGGGAGAGUAGGACGUCGCCAAGC
rnacentral:rRNA from 3 species